rnacentral:rRNA from 1 species
UGGGGAAUAUUGGACAAUGGGGGGAACCCUGAUCCAGCCAUGCCGCGUGUGUGAAGAAGGCCUUUUGGUUGUAAAGCACUUUAAGCGAGGAGGAGGCUACCGAGAUUAAUACUCGUGGAUAGUGGACGUACCG